ACAAUAUUUAACUACACUUGCCUUUCUAAAAACCCUUAGUUUUUUUUUUCCAUCACUUGAAAUGGCAAAUGUUAACCCAUUGAAUGAAAAGGUAUCCAUGAAUAACCCAAUGACUACAAACCCAAUGAAUAAUAUGUCAAGUGGAUCUGCUGCCAAUAGGAUGUACCCAAUGAGUAAUCCAACUACAGGCCAUCACAUCAACCCUUUGAAUGCCCAAAUCAAUCCUUUGAAUGGAUCUGCUGCCAAUAGGAUGUACCCAAUGAGUAAUCCAACUACAGGUACCCAAAUCAACCCUUUGAAUGCCCAAAUCAAUCCUCAUUCUGUGGUUAAACCAGUGAGUCAUGACAUGAUACCAGCUAGUGUGGUACCUGCUGCUCAUCAUACAACUCCGAUCAAUCCACGAACAUCAAAUCUAGCAGCUAGGCCUCCACACAGGAGAGGUGAUCAUCAUAUGUUCUUGACAUCUGAUGAUAAUGCUAUGAUGAGGCACAUUGAAGAAACUCAUAUCCCAGAUGGCCGUGACUUUGAUGUCAAGCCUCUUGUUGAUAUUAUUGAGGACAUUGUGCAUCGCGCUACUCCCAUUGCUGGACGUGUUCAUGAAGCUAAAGUUCAAGCACAUCUGGAAGCAUUGGAAGAGAAGGCUCCCCACAGUGGACUUACUGAACUACUCAACUAUUUGGCAUAUCCUAUUCAUAGAAUUAGUAUGGAGUUGAUCAGCAAAUGUGCUAACAAAGAAGAUGCACACUCAACAACAAUGUCACUGCUUCAUUCACUCACAACCUAUGCCUGGGACACGAAAGUCGCGAUAACUUUCGCGGCUUUUGCCCAGCAAUAUGGUGAAUUUGGAUUGCUUGUUCAUCAAUAUACCACAGAUCCACUGGCUAAGUCUGUUGCAAUCAUCAUGGAACUUCCAGAAAUAAUGACGCGUCAGGAUGUUCUCAAGCAGAAAUUCGAUGCAAUUCAUGAUUUGAUCGACAAAAAUGUUGGAUGUCACAAAGUGCAUUAUCGAGUUUAGAGACGUUCAAACGUCUCACAAUCAACAUGUUAUCAUCACACAAGAAUUGGAAAUGUUGAUCAAUACUGCCCAUAUUUCCACUGCUGCUUACUGGACUAUGAGGGCUGCUGUCAUGUGUGCAGCUAUGAUUCUGAAUCUCAUUGCCAUUGGUCAUGAGCAAAUUUCUUCAACAUCUGAGGCUUGGGAGUUAUCUAGUUUGACUCACAAGCUUGCAAACAUAUUGGAUCAUCUCAGAAAGGUUCUUGACCUUUGUCACCAAAAGAUUGAGGAGAAGAGGCAACAUGAUGCAUUUGAAGCACUUCUACGACUUCUCAGGACACCUCACAUUGAUAACAUGAAGAUACUCUCAAUCUUGAUUCACUCCAGGGAUGAUCAACUCCCACUUUUUGAUGGAACUCAUAAGAGAAGGGUAGGUCUUGAUGUUCUAAGGAGGAAGCAUGUUCUACUAUUGAUCUCUGACCUAGACAUUGCACCCGAAGAACUCUUUAUCCUCCACCACAUGUAUGCUGAAUCCAAGACACAACCAAACAGGCCAGAGAGCAACUAUGAGGUUGUCUGGAUCCCUGUGGUUGACAAGAGGCUAUCACCAUGGACUGAAGCAAAACAAAUGAAAUUUGAAGAAGUACAAGCUUCAAUGCCAUGGUACUCAGUGGCACAUCCUUCGAUGAUCGAUCCAGCAGUGAUAAGGUGCAUUAAAGAAGUGUGGGGAUUCAAGAAAAAGCCUCAGCUUGUUGUUCUUGAUCCACAAGGCAAAGAAGCAAAUAACAAUGCUUACCAUAUGUUAUGGAUCUGGGGAAGUUUGGCUUUUCCUUUUACCAAAGCUAGGGAAGAAGCUCUAUGGAAGGAACAAACUUGGAAUAUUGAACUCUUAGCUGAUUCCAUUGAUCAAAACAUUUUCACUUGGAUUAGUGAAGGCAAAUGCAUAUGCUUGUACGGAGGAGAAGAUAUUGAAUGGAUCAGAUCAUUCACCUCUGCAACGCGGGCUGUUGCCAAUGCAGCCCGUGUUCCACUAGAGAUGCUCUAUGUGGGAAAGAAAAACCCAAAAGAAAGAGUCCGGAAGAACAGCUCAAUAAUCCAAAUGGAAAACUUGAGCCAUGUGGUGCAAGACCAAACUCUGAUUUGGUUCUUUUGGGAAAGGCUAGAAAGCAUGUGGCACUCCAGGACUCAACAAGACAUCCCAGGUGAAACUGAUCCCAUCCUUCAGGAGAUUGUGACGAUUCUGAGCUAUGAUGGAAGUGAUCUUGGAUGGGCUGUAUUCAGCCGCGGAUUGGCUGAAAUGACUAGAGGUAAAGGUGAUCUGAUAGUGCAAGUUAUGAAGGGAUUUGAUCGUUGGAGAGAUGAAGUGAGUGACGUUACUACAUUUGUUCCUGCAUUGGAUCGUCAACUUCGUGAUCUUCAUAGUCCUCAUCAUUGCACUCGACUAAUUCUGCCGAGUACCACUGGACAUAUUCCUGAGAGAGUGGUUUGUGCUGAAUGUAGCCGUCCAAUGGAGAAGUUUAUCAUGUACCGCUGCUGCAUUGAGUGAUGAUUUAUGGUUGAUGAAAUUCGUAUGAGUAUGGAAUGGUGCCGCUCCUAGAGGACUAUAUAUUUGAAUAAAAGGACCACUUCUAGUCCUCUUGUGAGUCUUUUAAGUAUUAUUAAUUAUUGUGCUUACUUUUGACUUUUUGAUAUUCAUGUACUUGUUUUGAUAUUUGAGUGUGUGAUGAUUCUAUAGGCUAUAUAGCCUUAUGCAAUAUUUAGUGAAAAUCAAUAAAAACCAUUUCCACAUUGAUGGAGUAA